UUGGAUCUGCACAGUGCUUAUGGAAAUUAACUGUACGCUGUUGAAGAAAACUAAACGGGUUCAGUUUGGUUUUUAGUGAACAAUACACGAAUAAUUGAUUAUAAAUUUAAACUAAAAACAUAUAGGCUGUAUUUAUUUGUAACAUUAUAAUCGUAUGUACUAAAUCAUUACAGCACUAAUAUCGAUUUUCAAAUAAUAUUAAUAUUUUCAAUGUAAUUUAGUUUAUAAAUCCGAAAAAAAAAAUAAACAAAAUCCACAUAGUAAAAAUGAAAUGUAUAAUUUUUCUGAGUUUAUGGAUGAGGGGGGG